rnacentral:rRNA from 1 species
ACAAUACAGGGUUCUUCGAGUCUUGGAGGAAUGAGUACAAUUUACAUCUCUUCUCGAGGAUCAAUAGCAGGGCAAGUCUGGUGCCAGCAGCCGCGGUACUUCCAGCUGCAUACGCGUAUACUAAAGUUGUUGCAGUUAAAACGCUCGUACUCGGAUUGCGGGGCGGGCCCGCCGGUCUGCCGAUGGGUAUGCACUGGCGGGCGCGUCCUUCCUCCCGGAGACGGCCGCUACUCUUAACUGAGCGGUGGUCGGAGACGGGAUGUUUACUUUGAAAAAAUCAGAGUGUUUCAAGCAGGCAGUCGCUCUUGCAUGGAUUAGCAUGGGAUAAUGCAAUAGGACUCUGGUGCUAUUUUGUUGGUUUCGAGCACCGGAGUAAUGAUUAACAGGGACAGUCAGGGGCACUCGUAUUCCGCCGAGAGAGGUGAAAUUCUCAGACCAGCGGAAGACGAACGACUGCGAAAGCAUUUGCCAGGGAUGUUUUCACUGAUCAAGAACGAAAGUUAGGGGAUCGAAGACGAUCAGAUACCGUCGUAGUCUUAACCAUAAACCAUGCCGACUAGGGAUUGGAGGAUGUUCCGUUUGUGACUCCUUCAGCACCUUUCGGGAAACUAAAGUCUUUGGGUUCCGGGGGGAGUAUGGUCGCAAGGCUGAAACUUAAAGGAAUUGACGGAAGGGCACCCCAGGAGUGGAGCCUGCGGCUUAAUUUGACUCAACACGGGGAAACUG